UGUUGCUAAAACGUCACCAUUAUUAAUUAUGUGGCCAAUGAGCGAUCGCCCGGUUAGGGUAUAUAAGUUGGUUGGUUCUGCCUCUUGCUGUGUGUCAUGGUCGAAAGCCCGCCCCUUCCUUCCUGUUGUGGCCUUCCAAGUGUGUUGUUAGGCUGCUGAGAUAUACUGGGUGCGGUGCGUUGUUGGCUCUCAGUGUGGUGUGCCUUCAUGGCUCCCAUUGAUUGUGGCCUCGCAGUGUAACGUAGCCCAGGUCAUAGCACCAGCUGUUGUCGCUGUCACCUUUUAAAGGGGAGCCUUUAAAGAGGUUGUUGUUGUAUGAUCCUUAGAUCUGUUGUCAUGAGCAUUACACCAUCGUAUUAACGGGUAGGUAAAUCGCUCUAAUAGCUAAAAAACCUCGGAUGUUUUAUUGUAGUUAUAA